AGUCAACAUGCCCAGAGGACGUGGAUAACCUCGGGAAACUGAGUCUAAACCGCGAUAGGUGAGGAUUUCUGGAAUGGCUCCUGACUAAAAUCUAUAUGGCCUCUGGAUUGGACUGCGGCCGAUCAGGCUGUUGGUGAGGUAAUGGCCCACCAAACCUGUAACCGGUACGGGCUCUGAGAGGAGGAGCCCGGAGAUGGGCACUGAGACAAGGGCCCAGGCCCUAUGGGGCGCAGCAGGCGCGAAACCUCUGCAAUAGGCGAAAGCCUGACAGGGUUACUCUGAGUGACUUUCGCUAAGAAAGUCUUUUGGCACCUUUAAAAAGGGUGCAGAAUAAGGGGUGGGCAAGUCUGGUGUCAGCCGCCGCGGUAAUACCAGCACCCCGAGUGGUCGGGACGAUUAUUGGGCCUAAAGCAUCCGUAGCCGGUUCUGCAAGUCCCCCGUUAAAUCCAGCUGCUCAACAGAUGGGCCGCGGAGGAUACUCCAGAGCUAGGAGGCGGGAGAGGCAAGCGGUACUCAGUGGGUAGGGGUAAAAUCCGUUGAUCCAUUGAAGACCACCAGUGGCGAAGGCGGCUUGCCAGAAUGCGCUCGACGGUGAGGGAUGAAAGCUGGGGGAGCAAGCCGGAUUAGAUACCCGGGUAGUCCCAGCCGUAAACGAUGCAGACUCGGUGAUGGGUUGGCUUCGCGCUAACCCAGUGCCGCAGGGAAGCCGUUAAGUCUGCCGCCUGGGUAGUACGGUCGCAAGACUGAAACUUAA
rnacentral:rRNA from 1 species